GCCCUUAGAGUUUGAUCCUGGCUCAGGACGAACGCUGGCGGCGUGCUUAACACAUGCGAGUCGAGGGGACCCCCGGUACUAACCUUCGGGUUAGUACCGGACCAGGUUUACCGGCGGACGGGUGAGUAACACGUGGAUAACCUACCCAAGAGUUCGGGAUAACAGCUCGAAAGGGCUGCUAAUACCGGAUAUACCCAUAAGGGUGCAUGGUAUUAUGGGGAAAGAUAGUCCAUUAAAGGGUUAUCGCUUUUGGAGGGGUCCGCGUCCCAUUAGCCAGCUGGUAGGGUAAAGGCUUACCAGGGCGACGAUGGGUAGCCGGCCUUAGCGGGUGGUCGGCCACACUGGGACUGAGACACGGCCCAGACUCCUACGGGAGGCAGUAGUGGGGAAUCUUGCACAAUGGGCGAAAGCCUGAUGCAGCGACGCCGCGUGAGUGAAGAAGGCCUUCUGGUUGUAAAGCUCUUUAUAGGGGGAAGAACUUAGACGGUACCCCUUCAAAAAGCCCCGGCCAACUACGUGCCAGCAGCCGCGGUAACACGUAGGG
rnacentral:rRNA from 1 species